GGGGGCGACCGGUUUCGACAGAGCCGUUAGUUGCCACGGUUGCGAGCCGAGGCGCCGCUGGCCUCGUAAAAAGCGGCAAACAAAGGAAAAGCGAACAACUACGCUUACGCUGCCUAAUUAGCGCAGCCGUCCUAAGGACCCGAUCCGGUAGGGUCCCCUCAGGGCGUCGACAAAUCCGGAUAGCCCAGGGAGCCACUGCUCGAGGCGACACGGGCGAAUUCAAUCGAGCUGGCCGCGGAGCAGCCUGCCUGCCGGAGAGCCUCGCGGUGAGAGAGAUGCGCAGGCUACGCUCGUAGUAGCCGGGUGACGGCGACUUUGGAAGGGGGUUCAAUUCCCCCCGCCUCCACCA
rnacentral:tmRNA from 2 species